AUUGAACGCUGGCGGCAGGCUUAACACAUGAAAGUCGAGCGAGCGGCGGACGGGUGAGUAAUGUCUGGGACCCUGCCUGAUGGCUGGGGAUAACUACUGGAAACGGUAGCUAAUACCGCAUACCAUCAGAUGUGCCAAGAUGGGAUUAGCUAGUAGGUGGGGUAAUGGCUCACCUAGGCGACGAUCCCUAGCUGGUCUGAGAGGCUGACCAGCCACCCUGGAAAUGAGACACGGUCCAAACUCCUACGGGAGGCAGAAGUUGGGAAUAUUGCACAAUGGGGGCAAGCCUGAUGCAGCCAUUGCGCGUGUGUGAAGAAGGCCUUCGGGUUGUAAAGCACUUUCAGCGAGGAGGCGUUACUCGCAGAAGAAGCACCGGCUAACUCCGUGCCAGCAGCCGCGGUAAUUC
rnacentral:rRNA from 1 species